GUGAAUCAUCGAAUUUUUGAACGCAAAUUGCACUCUCUUCGGAGAGUAUGCCUGUUUGAGGGUCAGCCUAAAAAAAAAUCGACAUAGUCGCUGUUUCGCGGUGAUAUUCGUCGGAAAUUGGGUCAUCUUAAACCUUUGGGUUUUAAGCGGCUUAAAAUUUUCUUUACGAUUCUACGAUCGUUUGUACGAUUUACUUCUUAUAAGUUUAAGGUAUCGAUCUUUAUUAGACGUGGCCGUUGCAUCGUAUGUGGUAUAUAAAUAUAUCGUU
rnacentral:misc_RNA from 1 species